CUAGUGCUUUGCUUCUGUUAAUUCUUCAGCGUACUCAGAGGAAUCAUUAAGUAGAAGUUUAAAGACUGAAAGGUUUCAAGGUAAGACCAAGCAACAGCAAACAUGGAGUGAAGAAAUGCAAUUGUGAGUAGAAGAACCUACAGUAUUGCUUAAAAAUACCUUAAAUGGUAAACAGCUUGGUCAAUCUUGAUAUGCAUCAAUUAAUGCAAAUUGGAGUGAUGGACCAAAUCUUAGCAGGCUGAAAACAAGAAUUAAAAAAGACACUUCCCCCAAAAAACAGAAAAUCAAAAAAGAACACAUAGAAACCACCUUAUUGAAACAUCAGAGCACUGCAGAUGUAGUCAGUUACUCUUUAAGAUUAGAAUUUCUGAUA